UACGUAGGUGGCAAGCGUUAUCCGGAAUUACUGGGCGUAAAGCGCACGCAGGCGGUCUUGUAAGUUUGACGUGAAAGCUCCCGGCUUAACUGGGAGAGGUCGUUGAAGACUGCAAGACUUGAGGAAAUGAGAGGGGUGUAGAAUUCCCGGUGUAGUGGUGGAAUGCGUAGAGAUCGGGAGGAACAUCAGUUGCGAAGGCGGCUCUCUGGACCAGCACUGACACUGAGGCACGAAAGCGUGGGGAGCAAACAGG
rnacentral:rRNA from 1 species